AUACGUAUGGUGCAAGCGUUAUCCGGAUUUACUGGGUGUAAAGGGAGCGUAGACGGCAAAGCAAGUCUGAUGUGAAAGCUAUGGGCUCAACCCAUAAACUGCAUUGGAAACUGUUUAGCUAGAGUGUCGGAGAGGUAAGUGGAAUUCCUAGUGUAGCGGUGAAAUGCGUAGAUAUUAGGAGGAACACCGGUGGCGAAGGCGGGUUGCUGGACGAUAACUGACGUUGAGGCUCGAAAGCGUGGGGAGCAAACAGGAUGAGAUUCCCUGGUAGUCCAGGCCGUAAACGAUGAAUACUAGGUGUUGGGGGACUAUAGUCCUUCGGUGCCGCAGCUAACGCAAUAAGUAUUCCACCUGGGGAGUACGUUCGCAAGAAUGAAACUCAAAUGAAUUGACGGGG
rnacentral:rRNA from 1 species